GACGAACGCUGGCGGCGCGCCUAACACAUGCAAGUCGAACGGAGCUGCGAGAAGCUUGCUUUUCUUAGCUUAGUGGCGAACGGGUGAGUAACGCGUGAGUAACCUGCCCUGGAGUGGGGGACAACAGUUGGAAACGACUGCUAAUACCGCAUAAGCCCACGAUCCGGCAUCGGCUUGAGGGAAAAGGAUUUAUUCGCUUCAGGAUGGACUCGCGUCCAAUUAGCUAGUUGGUGAGGUAACGGCCCACCAAGGCGACGAUUGGUAGCCGGACUGAGAGGUUGAACGGCCACAUUGGGAAUGAGACACGGCCAAGACACCUACGGGAGGCAGCAGUGGGGGAUAUUGAACAAUGGGGGAAACCCGGAUGCAGCGACGACGCGUGGAGGAAGAAGGUUAUCGGAUGGUAAAAUAGUGGCGGUAGGGACGAUAAGGACGGGACCUAACAAGAAAGAACAGGCUAAAUACGUG
rnacentral:rRNA from 1 species